CCUACGGGAGACAGCAGUGAGGAAUAUUGGUCAAUGGGCGCGAGCCUGAACCAGCCAAGUCGCGUGAGGGAAGACGGUCCUAUGGAUUGUAAACCUCUUUUGUCGGGGAGCAAAAGACGCCACGUGUGGAGUUCCGAGUGUACCCGAAGAAAAAGCAUCGGCGAACUCCGUGCCAGCAGCCGCGGUAAUACGGAGGAUGCGAGCGUUAUCCGGAUUUAUUGGGGUUAAAGGGUGCGCAGGCGGAAGAUCAAGUCAGCGGUAAAAUUGAGAGGCUCAACCUCGUCGAGCCGUUGAAACUGGUUAUCUUGAGUGAGCGAGAGGUAUGCGGAAUGCGUGGUGUAGCGGUGAAAUGCAUAGAUAUCACGCAGAACUCCGAUUGCGAAGGCAGCAUACCGGCGCUCAACUGACGCUCAUGCACGAAAGUGUGGGUAUCGAACAGGAUUAGAUACCCUAGUAGUC
rnacentral:rRNA from 1 species